rnacentral:lncRNA from 1 species
CAAUCUAGCGAAGAUCACAAAAAGUGACCGUUUUCGCUACCUAGGAUCUAUCUUGCAAGAGAACGGAGAAUUAGAUGGAGAUCUCAACCAUAGAAUACAAGCUGGAUGGAUGAAGUGUAAGAGUGCAUCCGGCGUGUUGUGUGAUGUCGUCGUAGGCCACUGAAGCUCAAGGGAAAAAUUUUAUAGGACGGCAAUAAGGCCAGCGAUGUUGUAUGGCACAGAAUGUUGGGCGGUGAAGCAUCAACACGUACACAAAAUGGGUGUAGAGGAGAUGAGGAUGCUUCGUGGGAUGUAUGGGCACACGAGAAAGGAUAAGAUUGGGAAUGAGGAUAUCCAAGGUAAAGUAGGAGUAGCCAAAAUUGAAGGAAAUAUGAGAGAAAAUCGGUUCCGGUGGUUUGGACAUGUGCAAAGAAGGCCUACUGACGCUCCGGUUCGAAAAUGUGACUACGGGACAGAAGUUCAGGGCCGAAGGGGUAGAGGAAGACCUAGGAAAACUUUGGAAGAGACCCUAAGAAAAGACUUGAUUACUUGGAUCUAACGGAGGACAUGACACAAAACCGAGCGCAAUGGCGUUCUAGGAUUCAUAUAGCCGACCCCACUUAGUGGGAAAAGGCUUUGUUGUUGUUGUUGUUGUAAUUUUUCAAUUGAUAUUAGAUUGGGAGUUAAUGAGGAGUUUUUUUUUAGCAUGGGGAAAUAUCGAAGCAUUAGUUUUGAUAAUUAGAUUGUUACAAACACUUCUAUGUAAAAAAAGUUGAAAACUUUUCCUUUAAAAUUUCAAAACAUAAACUAGAAGGAAGAGAAACAUCCAUGCUUGUAUCUCAUUUCUCACACAAUAAUCUAAGAACUCACAGAAGCUGAUAGAACAAAAUACCUUAGCUCAGACCCCCUUGGAGGACUAGAAAACUAGAGACAUGGAGGGCAACCCAGUUUUUCAUUGUGAUUUGGGGAAAAAAGAGUGUUAUAUGACAUGAAGAGGAAAGAUGGGAAAAGGUGAAUUUGAUAGUUUGAGAUGAUGGAUUAAGAGCCGUAGAGUGGACUCCAUAUAGCACUUUACGAUUGCGCUCUCAUCUAACUAUACUCUAAUGCACAUUUAUCUUUGUACAUAUAUGAAAUUUUUAUACUUUCAUGAUUUUCAGGAUUGAAGGUGCUUAAGUUCAAGAUUACUUAAGUACAAGUUCCAAGUUAGUAUGUUGUCUUUAAUGCUUGCAAUUUACAAUGACAUAUUAUUAAUGCUACCUGUAGCCAAAUAAUCAUUGCAUUUGAAUAGUAAUGAUGAAUAUGAAGUAUUGUGCAUGUAUAUGCUGAAAGCAUGGUGGUUUCUAAGUUAGAUUUGCUAUUUUCUAGUACGUUUGUUUUAGCAUCUAGUCGUUGUUGAGUUGGGAUAUGUGAAUUUUUUAAUUGAGUUUUUUGACGUUUUUGGUUGUUAUAUUAUGUCUAUCAUGACAAUUUUACAUAUAUAUUUAUAUAUAUAUUUUCUAUUAUGGUAACCUACUGAAAUAUGUCAGAGUGUGCAGCUCAAUACUAGGAUUGAAGUGAUUUGAUUUCAUGAAUCGACAAUGGAUUCGUAGUCGGGAUCGCCUUAGUUCCAAAUAUAGAAAAGGGAUCAAGUCAUACAUUGCUUGUCACCAUGUGAACAAGAAUAAUCAAAUACCAUGUCCUUGUAGAGUUUUCCAUAACACAUUUUUUCACUUAGUUGAAGAUGUUCAUUUCCAUUUGUUGAAUUCCUGUAUGGAUAUGAAUUAUGAUAGAUGGAUAUAUCAUGGGGAGCAUAUCCAACAAGUGCAAGGAGAAUCUUUGGUAUCUACGAACAAUGAGCCAAUCAGUAACUUUAAUGUCAACAUGUUUAAUAUGAUUGAGGAUGUCUUUGAAAGAAUAGAUGAUGAUGAUGAUGAUGAUGAUCAAGAUACAAUGGAGAACCAAGAUACCAUGUGGGGUGGUGAUAUGACCAAUGCGUGGACAGAUGUUGAUACUUAUGAGAUGCUGCUUGGUGAAGCUCAAAAGGAACUAUACCUUGGAUGUAAGCAAUAUACAGUUUUGACAUACAUCAAGGAGUUGAUUCACACCAAAGUUGACAACCACACGACAAACAAGGCAAUUGAUAAAAUGUUAGCAAUGAUGAAGAAGAUGUGUCUCCAACCUAACAAUGUUCUGGACUCAUUUUGUGAGUGCAAGAAGAUUUGAAAAGUCUUGGAUUGGGGUGUGAAACUAUACAUGCUUGCUACUAUGAUUGUGCACUAUUUUAUAAAGAACACGAAAAGAAAGAUAGAAGUCCAAUAUGUAAUGAGCCAAGGUAUAAGGAUAGUCAUUAUGAGCAGAGGAAGAAAAUUCCAAGAAAAGUGUUGCGAUACUUUCCACUUAAGCCAAGGCUACAUAGGUUGUUCAUAUUGAGACAUACGAGCGAAAACAUGAGGUGGCACAAGGAGAAAAAAAUUAAUGAUGGGAACACAAGGAGGCAUCUAGCAGACUCGAGUUCUUGGAAAGAAUUUGACCAAAUGUACCCUAAUUUUGCUCGAGACCCACGAAAUGUCCGAUUAGGCCUUAUGAGUGGCAGGUUUACUCCUUAUUCAGAUAUAAGUAAGCCGUAUAGUAUAUGGUCAAUUGUUGUAUUUCCAUAUAAUUUGCCCCUCAUGGAGAUGCAUGAAAAAACAUUUUUCUUUUCUAACCUUAUUAAUUCUUGGACCAAAAGCACCUGGAAAUAAGAUUGACGUUUAUUUGUGUCCAUUGGUUGAUGAGCUUAAGGAACUGUGGGAAAAUAGUGUUCAAACUCAUGAUAAGAUUACUGAGAGUACAUUUAAUUUGAGUGCAACUGUUAUAUGGACCAUUAACAACUUCCCUGCUUAUGGAAAUUUAUUAGGUUGGAGCACUCAUGGCAAGUUGACAUGUCUAGUGUGCAGUGAAGGUGGAUCUUAAAUUGAGUUAAGAGACAAGUAUUGUCAUAUUGGGCAUCAUCGUUACUUACCUAUGAAUCACUCAUGGCGCAAAAAUACUGAACUCUUUAAUAGUCACCGAGAUAUGAGACAUCGUCCUAGAAAAUUCUCAUGUGAUGACAUACUUGAUCAACUUGAUUCCCUUUUAUCUUGUACACUUGGUAAGCAUCGUACUAAUAAAGAUAAGAAGAGGAAGCAGAAUGUCGAAGAAUUAAAUUGGACAAGGAAGAGUAUUUUUUUCGAGUUGGAAUACUGGUCCAAAUUGAAGAUUCAACAUAAUCUUGAUGUUAUGUAUAUUGAGAAGAAUAUAUUUGACUGUUUGAUUGGGACAUUGCUGAAUACUGGGAAGUCGAAGGAUACCUUUAAGGCACAGAUGAAUUUACAAGACAUGAAUAUUAGAUAGAGUUUGCAUUUGAAACUAAAUGCACGUAACAUAUUGGAUAAGCCAUUGGCUCAGUAUGUAUUUAAGUCAUAUAAACGUAAAGAUUUCUUGCAUUGGUUGAAAUCAAUUAAAUUUCUAGAUGGUUAUGUAGCAAAUGUAUCACAUAAAGUGAAUAUAGAUGAAGAAAGUAUUUUUGGUUGGAAGAGUCAUGAUUGUCAUGUGUUGAUGCAAUAUGUGCGUCCUGUGGGCAUUUGAAAAUAUUUGAAAAAGCAUAUAUAUGGUCCAAUUGUUGAGUUUUCUAGUUUUUUUUUUUCAACAAAUAUGUGCAAAGACUCUGACUGUUAUUGAUCUUGACAAGUUGGAAUAAGACAUUGCCUUGAUGUUUUUUUUUUCGAGUUGGAAUACUGGUCCAAAUUGAAGAUUCAACAUAAUCUUGAUGUUAUGUAUAUUGAGAAGAAUAUAUUUGACUGUUUGAUUGGGACAUUGCUGAAUACUGGGAAGUCGAAGGAUACCUUUAAGGCACAGAUGAAUUUACAAGACAUGAAUAUUAGAUAGAGUUUGCAUUUGAAACUAAAUGCACGUAACAUAUUGGAUAAGCCAUUGGCUCAGUAUGUAUUUAAGUCAUAUAAACGUAAAGAUUUCUUGCAUUGGUUGAAAUCAAUUAAAUUUCUAGAUGGUUAUGUAGCAAAUGUAUCACAUAAAGUGAAUAUAGAUGAAGAAAGUAUUUUUGGUUGGAAGAGCCAUGAUUGUCAUGUGUUGAUGCAAUAUGUGCGUCCUAUGGGCAUUUGAAAAUAUUUGAAAAAGCAUAUAUAUGGUUCAAUUGUUGAGUUUUCUAGUUUUUUUUUUUCAACAAAUAUGUGCAAAGACUCUGACUGUUAUUGAUCUUGACAAGUUGGAAUAAGACAUUGCCUUCAUAUUGUGCAAACUAAGAAAAGUUUUCCCACCUGCAUUCUUCAUUCCCAUGGUUCACUUAGUAGUGCGCUUAUCACACGAAGCAAAAUUAGCAGGACCAGUCGGAUAUCAAUGGAUGUAUCUUGUAAAGAGGUAAAUGGCCAUGAUGUUUCUGUUAGUUGCAUAAUUUUUUUAUUUCUACGUACUAACAAUUGUUAACUCCGCCGUGUAAGUUUAUCUUACAUUGCCGGUCCCAAGCCCGGAUAAAGGAGGAGGGGGAGGGCGUCAGGUAGUCGACAGCCGGCACUCCAUGAUCACGUCGAAUCCUUAUGAAAAUGAAUCCAGAACGAAAUCACGCUAAAGCUAGGGCGUCACCCGUAAGUGGCGCGCUGUGUGGCCCGAGCACAGUGAUAAAUGAGUAAGGGUCGCUGUAUCUCCAUCGGCACCCGGAUGCAGUGUUAAAUGAGCAAGGGGGCUAUAGAAACUUCUUUUCGAACGACUCCACUCAAAGUUGUUGGGAGCAUAUGCUCCUAUCAACUUUAAAACGGGACACACAAAAGAAGUACUUUGAUCCUAUUAGACGGGGAAGGGUGAAGAAGUUAGGACAGAAGGGUAGAGUUCAAGAGAGCAAAAUGCGUUUUAGGAACGUGGAAUAUAGGAACAUUGACGGGAAAAUCUAUGGAAGUAGUAGAAGUUAUGGUGAGGAGAAGGAUAAAUAUUAUGUGCCUAGAAAAGUGGGUUGGGCGUAAGGCAAAGGAUCUAGAAAACUCAGGGUUUAAACUAUGGUAUUCGGGCACAAAUAGAACGAGAAACGAUGUUGGCAUCAUCGUGGACAAGACCUUGACAGAAGAUGUUGUAGAUGUCAAGAGGGUAGGAGAUAGAAUCAUGGCAAUCAAGAUUGUAAUUAGGACAAGAACUUAUCAAUGUGAUUAGUGCGUACGCACCCUCAAGUAGGGUUGGAUACGAGUUCGAAGGAGAAAUUUUGGGAAGACCUUGGAGACUUGGUGCAAGGAAUUGCUCAGACGGAGAAGUUAUUUAUAGGAGGAGAUUUAAAUGGACACGUGGGUAGGGAGACAGGCAACUAUGGAGGUUUUCAUGGUGGCCAUGGUUUUGGGGAGAGAAACGAGGAUGGGGAAGCUAUCUUGGAUUUUGCAAUGGUAUAUGAUCUCUUCUUAGCUAAUACCUUCUUUAAGGAGAGAGAAGAACAUGUGAUCACCUACAAGAGUGGGUCGUCAAAAACACAAAUAGAUUUUCUUCUAAUAAGGAAAGGGGAUCGUAUAACUUGUAAGGAUUGCAAAGUUAUACCAGGAGAGAGCGUGGCUAAUCAACAUCGCUUGUUGGUGAUGGAUGGACAUAUCAGACCCCCAGUAGGAUUGCUUUCUCAAAAAUCGAAGAGGCAUCGUUCUCCGAAUCCCGAGAGCCAGAUCCCCGACAGGAUUGCUUGUUCGAAAACCGAAGAGGCACCACUUUCCCAACUUCAAGAGCUGGAUCUCCUUGGAUAAAGUUUGUCUGUAAUCUUCACACGCAACAUCAGCUUUCCAGAUACCACAGACCACUUUUUCAAAGUGCUCUGACAGAGUUAAAACUUGUGAAGCUGGCAGCUCCCACUACCGUGCUAUGACCAAGCAGGGUAAAGGAAUAACAUUAUUACUUGAUGUUAGGGAGACUCCUAUAUAUGUCGACCUCCAUCCCCAAAGGACAUGCAGACCUGCAAAAAUGCUCAACCCUUCCUCUUAUCUGAUAGGGCACUCCCAACGAAGCCUUUCGAAAUAUUCAGCUUUCUUUCCCCCCGAUAAUACCUCUGUAAACAAGCUAUACUAGAGCAAGAAUAUCUCAUAUCAUCAGGGUUAAAAGCAAGAGUAUCCCAUAUCAUGCUUUUUUCCCUGUCUUUUCCUUUGGCCUUGUUCUUACCUGCAAGACAAGGAGAAAGAGAGCAAUCAGUCAGCACUUGGAAUCAAGCUUCCAGCCAGGAACUGACAGCCUGAAACCCUUACUUACCUGGCAUUGCUCUCGAGUACUCAUCUUCAACAUCUUAUGCUUCCAGGGAAGAUCCCGCAUCUGCCUGAGGAACAGAUAGGGCAAGUGAGAAGGAUACAAGGAAGCAUGUGGAGACAAGCGUAACAGCACACGUGCCGAUACAUCCACUACUCUGUCAAAAGCAAAAGUAUCCCAUAUCAGCAGGGUCGAACGUACUCUAGAUUUGAUGGACUUGUUUUGACCCUCAAAUUCUUCAGUCGGCCUUAUCUCUGGAGGAAACCAGAAAAACCUCCAGCCCAGUUCAAGAAUAAGCCUGUGGAAAGUUACUUCUUCAAAAGCAAAAGUAUCCCAUAUCAUCUCUUCUCAUUUUUCUUCUCUUUAUCCUUCAUGCUGCCUGCAAGAUAGGGAGAAUGUGAACAAUCAGCCGGAGCUCUGAUUGCUUACCUUGUCUGUCACCUCUUUCAGCAGAUCCCCUAGCUCGGCGACUUGGGGGACUCCUACUACAUGGUUUGUAUCGCGCUUGACCAAGCCUGAAACUACAAGUAAGCUUCAAGUGAAAUUGAUACAUUACCUUGUGCAUCUCCACCAGUUACAGAUACCUACCCCUGGAUGGAGGAAGAGUACUUCCAGAGAAGAUGCCACAUCUACCUAUGAGACAGAUAAGGAAAGUCAAGACGAUACCACACUCCAGUACUUAGAAGUUUCGUGGUUACGAGAUUAUUCUCCCAUAAUAUUUCCUAAUGUCAUUUGUACUAAAUCAUUCACUUGUACUCACUAAAGGAGAGCUUGAACCUAUGUACUUGUGUAAACCCUUCACAAUUAAUGAGAACUCCUCUAUUCCGUGGACGUAGCCAAUCUGGGUGAACCACGUACAUCUUGUGAUUGCUUUCCUAUCUCUAUCCAUUUAUAUACUUAUCCACACUAAUGACCGGAGCAAUCUAGCGAAGAUCACAAAAAGUGAUCGUUUUCGCUACCUAUGAUCUAUCUUGCAAGAGAACGGAGAAUUAGAUGGAGAUCUCAACCAUAGAAUACAAGCUGGAUGGAUGAAGUGUAAGAGUGCAUCCGGCGUGUUGUGUGACCGUCGUAGGCCACUGAAGCUCAAGGGAAAAUUUUAUAGGACGACAAUAAGGCCAGUGAUGUUGUAUGGCACAGAAUGUUGGGCGGUGACGCAUCAACACGUACACAAAAUGGGUGUAGCGGAGAUGAGGAUGCUUCAUAGGAUGUAUGGGCACACGAGAAAGGAUAAGAUUGGGAAUGAGGAUAUCCGAGGUAAAGUAGGAGUAGCCAAAAUUGAAGGAAAUAUGAGAGAAAA